GACGAACGCUGGCGGCGUGCUUAACACAUGCAAGUCGAGCGGUAAGGCCCUUUCGGGGGUACACGAGCGGCGAACGGGUGAGUAACACGUGGGUGACCUGCCCUCAGCUCUGGGAUAAGCCUGGGAAACCGGGUCUAAUACUGGAUAUGACUCCAUGACGCAUGUUGUGGGGUGGAAAGCCUUGUGCGGCUGAGGAUGGGCCCGCGGCCUAUCAGCUUGUUGGUGGGGUGANGGCCUACCAAGGCGACGACGGGUAGCCGGCCUGAGAGGGCGACCGGCCGCACUGGGACUGAGACACGGCCCAGACUCCUACGGGAGGCAGCAGUGGGGAAUCUUGCGCAAUGGGCGAAAGCCUGACGCAGCGACGCCGCGUGAGGGAUGACGGCCUCGGUU
rnacentral:rRNA from 1 species